rnacentral:rRNA from 1 species
AACGAACGCUGGCGGCAGGCCUAACACAUGCAAGUCGAGCGCACCUUCGGGUGAGCGGCGGACGGGUUAGUAACGCGUGGGAACGUGCCCUUCUCUACGGAAUAGCCUCUGGAAACGGAGAGUAAUACCGUAUACGCCCUUUGGGGGAAAGAUUUAUCGGAGAAGGAUCGGCCCGCGUUAGAUUAGGUAGUUGGUGGGGUAACGGCCUACCAAGCCUACGAUCUAUAGCUGGUUUUAGAGGAUGAUCAGCAACACUGGGACUGAGACACGGCCCAGACUCCUACGGGAGGCAGCAGUGGGGAAUCUUAGACAAUGGGGGCAACCCUGAUCUAGCCAUGCCGCGUGAGUGAUGAAGGCCUUAGGGUCGUAAAGCUCUUUCGCCUGUGAUGAUAAUGACAGUAGCAGGUAAAGAAACCCCGGCUAACUCCGUGCCAGCAA